rnacentral:rRNA from 1 species
UACGAAGGGGGCUAGCGUUGCUCGGAAUCACUGGGCGUAAAGGGUGCGUAGGCGGGUCUUUAAGUCAGGGGUGAAAUCCUGGAGCUCAACUCCAGAACUGCCUUUGAUACUGAAGAUCUUGAGUUCGGGAGAGGUGAGUGGAACUGCGAGUGUAGAGGUGAAAAUUCGUAGAUAUUCGCAAGAACACCAGUGGCGAAGGCGGCUCACUGGCCCGAUACUGACGCUGAUGCACGAAAAGCGUGGGGGAGCAAACAGG